rnacentral:rRNA from 1 species
AGCUAGUUGGUGGGGUAAAAGCUCACCAAGGCGACGAUCUGUAGCGGGUCUGAGAGGAUGAUCCGCCACACUGGAACUGAGACACGGUCCAGACUCCUACGGGAGGCAGCAGUGGGGAAUUUUGGACAAUGGGGGCAACCCUGAUCCAGCCAUGCCGCGUGAGUGAAGAAGGCCUUCGGGUUGUAAAGCUCUUUCGGCCGGGAAGAAAUCGUAUCAGCUAAUACCUGGUGCGGAUGACGGUACCGGCAUAAGAAGCACCGGCUAACUACGUGCCAGCAGCCGCGGUAAUACGUAGGGUGCGAGCGUUAAUCGGAAUUACUGGGCGUAAAGCGUGCGCAGGCGGUUUUGUAAGACAGGCGUGAAAUCCCCGGGCUCAACCUGGGAACUGCGUUUGUGACUGCAAGGCUAGAGUACGGCAGAGGGGGGUGGAAUUCCACGUGUAGCAGUGAAAUGCGUAGAGAUGUGGAGGAACACCAAUGGCGAAGGCAGCCCCCUGGGUCGAUACUGACGCUCAUGCACGAAAGCGUGGGUAGCAAACAGGAUUAGAUACCCUGGUAGUCCACGCCCUAAACGAUGUCAACUAGGUGUUGGGAGGGUAAAACCUUUUAGUACCGGAGCUAACGCGUGAAGUUGACCGCCUGGGGAGUACGGCCGCAAGGUUAAAACUCAAAGGAAUUGACGGGGACCCGCACAAGCGGUGGAUGAUGUGGAUUAAUUCGAUGCAACGCGAAAAACCUUACCUACCCUUGACAUGUCAGGAACUUUCCAGAGAUGGAUUGGUGCUCGAAAGAGAACCUGAACACAGGUGCUGCAUGGCUGUCGUCAGCUCGUGUCGUGAGAUGUUGGGUUAAGUCCCGCAACGAGCGCAACCCUUGUCGUUAAUUGCCAUCAUUUAGUUGGGCACUUUAACGAGACUGCCGGUGACAAACCGGAGGAAGGUGGGGAUGACGUCAAGUCCUCAUGGCCCUUAUGGGUAGGGCUUCACACGUCAUACAAUGGUCGGUACAAAGGGUCGCCAAGCCGCGAGGUGGAGCUAAUCCCAGAAAGCCGAUCGUAGUCCGGAUUGCAGGCUGCAACUCGCCUGCAUGAAGUCGGAAUCGCUAGUAAUCGUGGAUCAGCAUGUCACGGUGAAUACGUUCCCGGGUCUUGUACACACCGCCCGUCACACCAUGGGAGCGGGUUCCGCCAGAAGUAGGUAGCCUAACCGCAAGGAGGGCGCUUACCACAGCGGGGUUCGUGACUGGGGUGAAGUCGUAACAAGGUAGCCGUAGGGGAACCUGCGGCUG